CCGAGAAAUCUCUUAAUGGGGAUUAAAAACAAAACAACACUCAAUCCCAGAGCACUGCCCUUUAUUUAUUUUUGAGAGAUAAUCCUCCUUUAUUUCACUUCUUUUUUUUUAAUAUUAAAAGCAGCCCUUAUUGUUUCCUAAACCAGCGGAAAUUCCCUGGAGCCCGGCUCAGAGGCGGCUCCCACGUGGGAGCAGCCGCGGUCUGGCCCCAACCCGGCAGCGGGGCUCGGCGGGUUAUYGGGGCGCUGCCUUGUGUCCCCGCGCGGGGGGGGAAACCACGCGCCCCUCCGCAUCCGCGCUGCAGCCUCGGCAGGGCCCGGCAGCGCCUGUGCCACCGGGCAGCCCCUGCCGUCCGGAGCCGGGGUGCCGGGCGGGAUGUGCUCGAGCGCUGCCCCACCGCCGCGCAUGGCGGGUCCCCAGGCCCUCGCCGUGCAAGGACGGGCCGUGCCGGCCGCGGGGCGCGUCCUCCGAGUGGCAGCCAGGCCGCGGGGAGCCCGGGCCGCCCUAGGAGACGACGGCGCUCUGGAUGGCGGCGAGCAGCCGCCUCUCCCGCAGCACCCUGGGCAUGGGCCACGGCGCGGCGCAGGCUCUGCAGAAACCGCUCCUCGGGGAUGCUCUCGCCCCGCACGCUCAGCGUCUGGCUCUCCCUGCGGAGCAGAGGCCCCGUGGGCGCCGGGAGAUGCUGCCGGCUCCCUCCCGCCGCGCCGCCCCGCGGGACGGACCCCCUCGGCGGUCCCCACCUGCGCACGGGCUCCACCACGGGACACUGCUUGUGAAACCCGGCCACCCGCAGCACCUCUCCCGCGCGGCACCUGCRCGGGGCGGAAGGCAGCGUGACGGGGGGCCGGGGCCAGCGCGGGAUGCAGCCCACCCGCGGCGGGGCGAGGAGGCACCUGUACUCGCCGGGCCGGGCGGUGAGGACCAGCCCGUACUCCCGGCCCUCCCAGAGCUCCCCCAGCAGCGCCGUCGCCGUCGCCGUCGCCUCCUCAGCCGCGCAGGGCAGGAACUCGCAGAAGGCCCAGUCGGGGCAGAGCAGAAAGCGGGCGCUCAGCUCCUCCGGCCACAGGUUCACGCCGAGCAGCGCUGCGCGGAGAGGCGGUGCCGGUCAGCGGAGAACCCCGGCCCCGCCGGCGCCCCACUCGCCCGCUCCGAGGGGAGGAAACGGUCCCAAACGCGGCCGUUUUCGGAGAAGCCCGCGGGUCUCCGUCGAGGAGCGUUGCAGGGAGAUGCACCGCUCCUGGGGUAGGGCGAGGAGGGUUUGCGCUGCCGUGCAGCGGUGGGUCCCCGCAGCGGGUCCCCGGCCGGGGACACUCACCUCCGGCCGCCCGGUAGAAGGGGCAGUAGAAGGGGAGCCCCUUGCAGUCCUCCUGCCGCAGGGCAUCGCAGUAGAGCCGCUCCCCUCCAUGCGCCAUCCCCAGCACCACCACCUGCAGCUGCGGCCACAGGCGCCGCGCGAUGCCCUCGAAGCCCCGGGCGC
rnacentral:lncRNA from 1 species